CUUUCUUAGAGGGUCUUUGGGGAAGGGCAUCUUCUGCCGGUGCAUUCACACCUAUGGAGAAAAGAGCCUUUGGAAUUGCAGAUGACAUAUAUGAAGCAGGUCUUCUUUGUGCGUACUUGGCUUUUGUUCCAUUUUGUGAAGCAGGGAUUAUGGAUGGCCUUUCAUUGCAACGGCUUCUGGGAAGCACUUUCAAACUCGAUGUCAUGGCUACGAGAGAGUAAGCGUUUCGAAUUU